CAAAUGAACUGUAUAUUCAUUCCCUGCCCUUCAGGUACUUGGUACAACUACGUGAAGGAGAACUGACUUUAUAUUGCAUAGGUCUGGGAGCAGAGAGCAAGAAUGCAAGCCCUGCGAUGACCACAAUUCAUUUGUCAGGCGGUAACGUGAGUGUCAGCAAGGAGAACGAAUGUGGUACCUUUUCUGUCCAGACCAAAGGACACAAUUAUUUGUUUCGAAUACCCUUAACUGUCCAAAAUUACAGGACAGAGGAUGUUAGCAAGCUCCAGAAUGAAUGGGUGUCUCUCAUAGAAAGGUACUGUCAGCUGUGCAAGGGAGGCUUUUUGUCCCAGGAGGAAUCCGAAGGAGACACCUCGUCUGAAGCUGAUUAUGAGAAUGUUACUGUAGCUCUGAAUGAACAGAAAGAGGAGGCCCUCCAUUUCGAUGUGAGCGCUGCAAAAACCAGUCUGAACAAGCCUUCAAGCUCACAGACAAAGGCUGUGAAGGGAGAUGUAGCAGCACCAGCAUCUACUCCAGUUCCCAUAAGCAAGACAGAGGUGCCACCAGCCCCACCUGCAUUCUUUCAGUCCUGCAGCCUUUCUCCCUUGGCAAAGAGAACCAAAGCUUUUCACUGGGAUGUUGUUCCUUGUGAUAAGAUUCAAAAAUCCAUCUGGGGUUCUUGUGACCCAGGCAAGAAAAAGAUAGAUGCAUCCAGACUCUGCGAGCAGUUCCAGAUCCAGGACGUGGCAGUGUUUUCAGGCAAUGAACCUUCAGUGAAUCAGCACAUCAUGUUGGAUCGGAAAGUUGCACAUAACUUCAGCAUUUUUCUUAAAAGUUUCCGUGUAAAACCAAGUGAGCUGAAAGAAAAGCUGUACAUUAUACAUGAAGAGAGUGGUGGACUUACAGAUGAACAGAUUACGACGCUACGAAGGUACAUGCUAACACCAAAGGAUGCAGAGAAGUACCAGUCGUUCAGGGGGUG
rnacentral:lncRNA from 1 species